GAGAAAUCUUAAUCGUGAUUAAGCAGAAGUCAGCAGAGACCAUAGUAGUCAAAUACCUUGCCUAAUAGCUUGGACACGGCGAAGGG
rnacentral:ncRNA from 1 species